rnacentral:rRNA from 1 species
UACGGGGGGGGCAAGCGUUGUUCGGACUUACUGGGCGUAAAGCGUGCGUAGGUGGUUCGUUAAGUCUGUCGUGAAAGCCCCGGGCUCAACCUGGGAAUGGCGAUGGAUACUGGCGGGCUAGAGUGCGGUAGAGGAGAGUGGAAUUCCCGGUGUAGCAGUGAAAUGCGUAGAGAUCGGGAGGAACAUCAGUUGCGAAGGCGGCUCUCUGGACCAGCACUGACACUGAGGCACGAAAGCGUGGGGAGCAAACAGG